UCUUACCUGUACAUGCUUGCGCGAGUUGGAAGAAGAGUUUUUGUAGGUUGAUAGCUGCCUCUCUUUCGGCAUACAAAGCUUACUUCGCAUAAUGACAUUGUUGUCAUUCGCGGACUUGAACUCAAAGAAGUCCUUUAAGUAUGGCCAGGGAUUGGCCUCACGUUCUCCUUGCGUGUCUCUGAGUUCCAAAUUCGACCCCCCUCCGUCGUUACAAUCGUGCUUGUCGUCUCUAUCCCCAGACUCGUUUCCAUCAUCGGUCUCCACCAUCUUUAUGCUUCUGUGCCACCAACGUCUGUUAACCUGGCGCCGCAGUUGUCCAGAGCCAAUCAGAUGGACAGUUUCUGGCUGGCACUCAGACGCAGUGCAAGUUCAUCUUUUUUUUUUUUUUUUACUUUGUAACGGAAGCUAUUUCAAACGUAACGAAUUACAAUUACUUCAAACAAUAUGUACUUAAGUAAAAGUAAAAUUACUGAUUUUUAAAAUUACUCAAAAAAGUACAAUUACACAAAAAAACUACUUGGUUACAGUAACGAGAGUAAAUGUAACUAGUUACUUUCCACCCCUGUCUGUUCUGGAGGCUGAUGGAGUGAACUAGUAGACCCCGAAGGAGGCUGUCUCCACAGGCUUCCCAUGAAUCGUGCUAGUGACUGCUGCAGCCAGUUCCCUCUGUUUGUUGGAGAAUAGUCUUUCUUACGUUCAGUUCCAGGCAUUAUCGCACCACUCCACAAACACACAAGGAGCUGAGCAGUAGUGCUGUGAGGAAUGUGAAAGCAGGAACAGAAGAACUGUGUCAUCAGCGUACUUGACCAGAAGAGAAGAAGGGAAGUCUGCAAACAGGAGUCUGCUUCUAAUGUUGGGGAGUUCCAGAUGCUUAUGCAUGGUGUUGCGUCAUUAUCACAAACUGGAGAGGGUCCAUCUGUGAGUUUGUUGCCAUCAUAAUGUGGUUUUUGAUGAUCCCCUCCAUUGCUCUCAUUACAGAGGAGGUGAGAGCCACAGGCCAUAGAGACUGAGGUCACUCAAGACCUUGAUGGUGCCCUUUUUAGGAAUGUGGAGUGUUUCCACAGCUGGGGGACUGUGCCGUUGGCCAAGGAGCUCUGGAACAGCAUCUGAAACUUGCAUUUUGGGUCCAUAACUCUGCUCUCUACAAUAAACUUCUUUACUUCUUCUUUACUUGGGACUGAUGCCAGAUCACUUCAAAAGUAAGGUUUCAAGACUAAAAGCUCUUUAAUUUGCCAUGCCAUGGUUUCACAUAUAACCAAUGCGUGCAACUAUGAAGGUAUUUUUGGUCCAAAACAACUUGUGAGACCUUUGACUGUGGAAUUAGUGACUAUUUUAUACAAUUUCUAAUUCCACUGUCACAAACACUCAGUUGUUUUGUAUAAAAUUGUAUCUUGUUGUACUGAAGCUUCUCUUCAUAAAAAUCAAUAAAAUCACAAAUAAGACUUUGAA